GAUGAACGCUGGCGGCGUGCCUAAUACAUGCAAGUCGAGCGAACAGACGAGGAGCUUGCUCCUCUGACGUUAGCGGCGGACGGGUGAGUAACACGUGGAUAACCUACCUAUAAGACUGGGAUAACUUCGGGAAACCGGAGCUAAUACCGGAUAACAUGUUGAACCGCAUGGUUCAACAGUGAAAGACGGUCUUGCUGUCACUUAUAGAUGGAUCCGCGCCGCAUUAGCUAGUUGGUAAGGUAACGGCUUACCAAGGCAGCGAUGCGUAGCCGACCUGAGAGGGUGAUCGGCCACACUGGAACUGAGACACGGUCCAGACUCCUACGGGAGGCAGCAGUAGGGAAUCUUCCGCAAUGGGCGAAAGCCUGACGGAGCAACGCCGCGUGAGUGAUGAAGGUCUUCGGAUCGUAAAACUCUGUUAUUAGGGAAGAACAAAUGUGUAAGUAACUAUGCACGUCUUGACGGUACCUAAUCAGAAAGCCACGGCUAACUACGUG
rnacentral:rRNA from 1 species